rnacentral:misc_RNA from 1 species
UUUACGUUUCUCACUCUCUGUGAGAAACUCAAAAAUCUGUAUCCAUAUUUUUACAUAUUGGGUUCUGAAACAAAAAAAAUAAUCAAAAACGGGUUUAAGUUGCUGUUAAGCUCUGAAUAUAUUUGAUCGACAUCAAAAUGUCUAACUAUACACCAAAGAAUAUACUCAUUACUGGGGCCGCAGGGUUUAUUGCAUCUCAUGUUGCCAACCGCCUUGUUCGGAGUUACCCUGAUUACAAUAUUGUGGUUCUUGACAAGCUUGAUUAUUGCUCAAACCUGAAAAAUCUUUCCCCAUCUCGAUCUUCCCCUAAUUUUAAGUUUGUUAAGGGAGAUAUUGGCAGUGCUGAUCUUGUUAACUACCUUCUCAUCACCGAGAACAUUGACACUAUAAUGCACUUUGCUGCUCAGACCCAUGUCGACAACUCCUUUGGUAAUAGCUUUGAGUUCACCAAGAACAACAUUUAUGGCACACACGUGCUAUUAGAGGCAUGCAAAGUUACUGGUCAGAUCAGAAGGUUUAUACAUGUUAGCACUGAUGAGGUUUACGGAGAGACUGAUGAAGAUGCUGUUGUAGGAAAUCAUGAAGCAUCGCAACUUCUCCCCACAAACCCAUAUUCAGCCACGAAAGCUGGAGCUGAAAUGCUUGUUAUGGCAUAUGCAAGAUCAUAUGGAUUGCCUGUUAUCACCACUAGAGGGAACAAUGUGUAUGGUCCCAAUCAAUUUCCUGAGAAGCUAAUCCCAAAGUUCAUACUUUUAGCUUUGAAUGGGAAGCCUCUUCCGAUUCACGGAGAUGGUUCAAAUGUUAGAAGUUAUCUCUAUUGUGAGGACGUUGCUGAGGCUUUCGAAGUUGUUCUUCACCGAGGUGAUGUUGGUCAUGUUUAUAACAUCGGGACUAAGAAAGAGAGGCGAGUGAUUGAUGUUGCCAAAGAUAUAUCCAAUCUUUUUAACAAGGAUCCAGACACAAGCAUUCAGUUUGUGGAAAACAGGCCCUUCAAUGACCAGAGGUAUUUCCUAGAUGAUCAGAAGUUGAAGAACCUGGGUUGGUCCGAGAAGACCACCUGGGAAGAGGGUCUGAAAAAAACCAUGGAGUGGUAUGUCAAUAAUCCUGAUUGGUGGGGAGAUGUCUCUGGGGCAUUGCUUCCCCAUCCUAGAAUGCUGAUGAUGCCUGGUGGGGUAGAGAGAAAUUCGGAUGGAGCUGAAAAAGAUGAUUCUGGAUCAUCUGAGAUCUCAGGAAACAUGAAACUUAACGGAAUGGUAGUUCCAGCUUCCAAGAUCAGCAACUCCCCUAGUAGAUCACCUUAUAAGUUUUUGAUUUAUGGUAGAACUGGGUGGAUUGGUGGUCUCCUAAGCAAACUGUGUGAGAAACAGGGAAUUCCUUAUGAGUAUGGAAAGGGACGUCUGGAGGAUCGCUCACAACUUUUGUCAGACAUUCAUGCUGUGAAGCCCACACAUGUAUUCAAUGCUGCUGGUGUCACUGGCAGACCCAACGUUGAUUGGUGUGAGAGUCACAAACCAGAAACAAUUCGUACAAAUGUUGCUGGUACUCUAAACUUGGCAGAUGUUUGCAGAGAGAAUGGACUCCUGAUGGUGAACUUUGCCACUGGCUGCAUAUUUGAGUAUGAUGCUGCACAUCCAGAAGGUUCUGGUAUUGGGUUCAAAGAGGAAGACACACCCAAUUUUGCUGGUUCUUUCUAUUCAAAGACCAAGGCCAUGGUUGAAGAUCUGUUGAAAAAUUAUGACAACGUUUGCACACUGAGAGUUCGCAUGCCAAUAUCUUCAGAUCUCAGCAACCCUCGCAAUUUCAUUACCAAGAUCAGCCGCUAUAAUAAGGUGGUCAAUAUUCCUAACAGUAUGACCAUAUUGGAUGAGCUUCUUCCUAUUUCAAUUGAGAUGGCAAAGCGUAAUCUCAGAGGCAUAUGGAAUUUCACAAACCCGGGUGUUGUGAGCCAUAAUGAGAUAUUGGAAAUGUACAAGAAAUAUAUCGAUCCAGCAUUUACUUAUGCCAACUUCACGGUGGAAGAGCAGGCCAAGGUAAUCGUUGCAGCUCGCAGUAACAAUGAGAUGGAUGCAUCAAAGUUGAAGAAAGAGUUCCCCGAGUUGCUAUCAAUUAAAGAGUCGCUGAUCAAGUACGUUUUUGAACCAAACAAGAAAACCUCUGCAUAAAAAGGCCGUGUUCUCAGGAAUUGUGUAUGCUAUUUUAGCUAUUAUUUCAUUAUUAGUUCCUCGAAUUCGCUAGAUAUUCAUUAGUGAUUUAGCUGUUGUUCCUUGUUAUUUUUGUAUGAAUUCAUAAUCUGUGCCUUCUUUGGGGAAGAUUUGGAAUAUUGGAUAGGCUGUGUUCCCUGUAUCUGUUGUUAAAUGAGUUUGUGUUAAAGAUCUUGUGUACUUUGUUGACUUUGAUAUAUGGAUGUAUGAACUUUUUCUUGCUCAACCUCACUACUCUUUUUUCUU